CAGCAGCCGCGGUAAUACGGAGGGGGCUAGCGUUGUUCGGAAUUACUGGGCGUAAAGCGCACGUAGGCGGCUUGGUAAGUUAGAGGUGAAAGCCUGGAGCGCAACUCCAGAAUUGCCUUUAAGACUGCCGAGCUAGCAGGUGAGAGAGGUAAGUGGAAUUCCGAGUGUAGAGGUGAAAUUCGUAGAUAUUCGGAAGAACACCAGUGGCGAAGGCGGCUUACUGGCUCAUACUGGACGCUGAGGUGCGAAAGCGUGGGGAGCAAACAGGAUUAGAUACCCGGGUAGUCCCUGUCUCUUAUAC
rnacentral:rRNA from 1 species